rnacentral:rRNA from 1 species
GAUGAACGCUGACAGAAUGCUUAACACAUGCAAGUCGAUGGGGAAGUGGUGCUUGCACCAUGGUAACCAUGGCGGACGGGUGAGUAACGCGUAAGGAACUUGCCUGCGGGACUGGGAUAACAGCAGGAAACUGCUGAUAAUACCGGAUAAGGUCAUUAAGCUGCAUAGCUUAGUGAUGAAAGGAGACGCCUGCGGAGAGCCUUGCGUCCUAUUAGCUAGUUGGAGGGGUAACGGCCCACCAAGGCGAAGAUAGGUAGCCGGCCUGAGAGGGUGGACGGCCACAAGGGGACUGAGAUACGGCCCUUACUCCUACGGGAGGCAGCAGUGGGGAAUAUUGGGCAAUGGGGGCAACCCUGAUCCAGCAAUUCUGUGUGCACGAAGACGGUUUUCGGAUUGUAAAGUGCUUUCAGCAGGGAAGAAGGAAGUGACGGUACCUGCAGAAGAAGCGACGGCUAAAUACGUG